rnacentral:tRNA from 1 species
GAGUUGAGUUGCAGGAAGGUAUCUGUAUCAAAUUGCAAAUUUGACAACUAAGGGUUCGAUUCCCUCUCAACUCU